UCCUCUUCUUUGACUCCCAACACAGAACUACUUGCCUCUUCACUUUCCAAUGCAGAACUAUCCUCUUAUCUAACAGCCAAUUAUAUAAUCAAAUAGAUACAAAAAAUAUCAUCGUCAGAUAUUAUAAUUGUGAUUUAUAAUCGCCGAACGCUGUGGUAGCGAGAGUUCCCUCUUUUCCCAAAGUUUUAGAUUUAGAAGUAGCCACCCGGAGCCCCGCACCUCUGACUGGUCAACAGAAAGCAUGGUAACUGGUGAUAAAUAGGAUCGCUUUCAUGUCGCUUAUCAUGUCGUCAGGGGCUGCCAGAGUUGUGUUUUGAGACGUUCCGUCCUCAUCGCAAAUGGCUACUUUAUCGCCUGCAUGGAAAAUAUUCAAGAUAAUAAUUGGAGUAAUUCCUAAAAUCUAUUGAUAAAUACUUUUUUUCAAAAAAUGCUGCACGAGUGAAAGGAGUCAACUGACAGCUCGAUCCCGUCACCCCUCGGAACAUGGAGUGCAGUAAACUGUCUGGCUGCAUAUCUGUGCCUGACCUGCAGAUAGGUCUCGCCUACAGCCUUGAUCAGUAACACAAGAACGGAUUACUGUCUAACAUGUGUUGUGCCAGGCUGGAGAAGACAGCCCUCUCCUGGAACUCAGACAGUACCGUACAAGUGUUACAAUGUUGUGCCAAGCAUGUGUUGACAACUUUGCAUAUGCAGUCGCUGCCGAGCCCUACAAAAAGAUGGCCGACUGACAUUUCGCUGGCAUCAGCCCGAGCGCCUCACGGCCUCUCCACCCUUUAUACCUCCAUGCCUCGGAAGGUCAAAGCUGAAAGGAUAAUGACCUGAGGAUUAACGCAGAAGAAGGAGGAGGAAGGAGGUUGGGUAGAGCAGCGGCAACAGGUGGAGGAAAAAGAUGGUUACUGAAAGCAGCCUAGAGGUGACUAUUUUUAAGUGUGCUACCAAUUAUAAGUGUGACAGGCAACAUGCCUAGAAAAUAUAUAAGAAAAAACAGCAAAGACCCAGAAACAAAAGCGAAGAUUAAAAGAUGCAAUACAAGGUGUUAGAAACAAACUAUACACUGUAAGUAUCCUGCUAAGAUGUUCAAAGUCAGUAAAACAACCCUCUUAAGACAUCUGAAAAACAAUGUGAGUGAUGACAACUGAGGGUAGUGAAUCUGAUAAGCCAAAAUGUGGAAAUCCAUUCAACCUCCCAAAAGAGUGUGAAGAGCAACUUGCAGUGUCUAACAGUAAUGACAAAAUGGAGCUUUGGGCUUGCUCCUAGUGAGUUAUGUGAUUAUGUGAAACAGUUUGUGACAGAAAAGAAGAAAGAAGAAUCUUAAGUUGGUGAUUACAUAAGAAAAUAUUGCAGAUUCAAAGACAAAAGGCCUGGUGAAGAUUGGGUCUACUAUUUCUUGAAAAGAUUUUUUUGUGUGUGUGAAAAAGGCAUCAACACUUGAAAAGGGCUAAAAAGAGUGCAGUUAGUGAUCCUGAAGUCACUUACAGUUUCUACAGUUAAGUUGAAAAUGAAUUCAAGAGACUGGGAAUUUCAAACAUGCCUGAGUGUAUAUGGAAUGCAGAUGAUUUUUUUUUUUUUUUUUUUUUUACUGUGAGAUCCAAGUCAUGUCAUAACCAAAUUACAUUUGUUGUUAACCUCUGGAUAUGACAAGCUAAUAUUUUCGAAGGAAAUUAAUGAUUUUUAUAUUGGUCCAUAAUCACCCCAGGCUGGUCAACAAUCACCCCAGAGUAUUGUCUAAAUCACCCCAAUUUUUUGUACAAUGUGGUCCACACUUUUUUGGGAUGUAUCUUUAUAAGUUACAGUGGAAAUUAGUUUUAACUCCAGUAUUACAUAGGCAAUGACUCACUUAUAUUUGCAUUGAAUAGUCUUUUUUUUUUGUGUUUCAAUAAAUAUGGGAACUAAAUCAAAGUCUGUCAAAACCUGCUCUGAAUCACCCCGGUCGACCAAUAUCUCAAAAUCUAAAAAUGGUACAACAAAUGAGGCAUGGAUUCCUAUCUUUUAGGGCAUGGCAAACCAAAUAUGACAAGAUAUUUGAUCUUUUGGCAUGGUCAAUCACAUCUUUUUUACUUUUUUGGACAAAUGAUAUCACAUUUUCUGAGAGCCUGGAAUCUCAGCUUUUUAAUGAGAUAUGAUGGCCAUCUGAGAAGCGUAGCUGUUACAAGUUAUCCCACAUAAUGUAAACUAAGGUUACGAAAAUUAAGCGUAUAAACCAAAGCAGAACAGUAAGAUAUCUCAAAAUUUUAAAAAAAUUAUAUAACAACAAAUGAGGCAUGGAUUUCAAUGUUUUAGGGCAUGGCAAACCUAAAUAUGACAUUGGCACUGCUAUAUAAGGUCAAUCACAUUUUUUUACUAUUUCGCACAAAUGAUAUCAUAUUUCUC